UACGUAGGGGGCGAGCGUUGUCCGAAGUUACUGGGCGUAAAGCGCGCGUAGGCGGGGAAUUAAGUGAGAAGUGAAAGGCUGGGGCUCAACCUCAUGCAGUGCUUCUCAUACUGGUUCUCUUGAGGGCGGUAGAGAGAAGUGGAAUGGCUGGUGUAGCGGUGAAAUGCGUAGAUAUCAGGAGGAAUACCGAUGGCGAAGGCAGGUCUCUGGGCUGACACUGACGCUCAUGCACGAAAGCGUGGGGAGCAAACAGG
rnacentral:rRNA from 1 species